rnacentral:lncRNA from 1 species
CAUUAAAACAACACUCUCAACGAAAAAUGCUUGAUGUAUUAUUUAAAAUACACAUGUACACCUAAGUAUCAAUUCAAAUAUAGAUUUUAACGCUGGUGGAGGGAAAUGUUUUAAUAAAAUUGAGAAUGGAACUGGGGAAUGUGUCAAAGAGACAACAACCCGACCAUAAUAGAGUAGACAACAGCAGAAGGUCACCAACAGGUCUUCAAUGCAGCGAGAAACUCCCGCACCCAGAGGCGUCCUUCAGCUGGCCCCUAAACAAAUAUAUAUAUACUAGUUCAGUGAUAAUGAACGCCAUACUAAACUCUAAAUUGUACACAAGAAACUAAAAUUAAAAAUAAUACAAGACGAACAAAAGCCAG